GAAAUGGGUGACUAGGGUUCCGGCUUCACUGCGCAGGUCCGAGAGUCACCGACCGCCCUCUGGCGGUUACACGGCGGGAUAAAAGCCCGGGAGGA
rnacentral:sRNA from 2 species